GCCGACGACACCCCCCUUGCUUUCCCCGCUUACCUCCGUGGGUUCGAUGGGCUUCCCGGUCUGGAAGCUUUCCUUCUGGAGGUUAGCGACAUGGUACGUCCACAGCUUGCCUUCGCUGUCGCCACACACGACGUAAGCUCGACCUAAAGGCAGACAGACUGGCAUCCAUGUCAGUUUGGUUCCCAUCGGCCCGGGUGGUAAAGAGGAGGGAAAGGGCUGCGGGGCUUACCGGGACAGGUGUUGAGCGACAGCCCGCUACAAGGAGAAACAAGAACAGCGGGCCUUUCAAUGUGACUCUUGUGAAACCGGGGUUUUAUUUUGUCGCGGUGCUCACUUACUGAAGAGGAAGUUGCCCUGGCGGUGGUUGAAGCAGAGGACUGACAGCGCCCUGCGGCUCGCCCGGAACUCGCCGUAGGCCACGUUGCACCGGGGGUGGAUCAGCUUGACCAGGCCUCGCUUUCCGCCCGCCGCCAGGAUGCUGCAGGGCUGCGCCGGGGCUUCGUCUCCUCGGGACAUCCGCACCGAGGACCACGCCAGCGAGAAGAACUCCUGUGAAGAGAAAUACCAAACUUAUUCAUGUUUAUUUAUUGGGUUGGAGCAGAUUAAGGGCUUUUUAUAAAACUUCCUCUGUGGUUUUAUUUGUUUUCUGAAUCGCAAGUAGGGCUAUGCUACUCAUGAAUGAUAAACAUAACAUACAGGGUGGGCCAAAGGUAGGCUUAGUAGUACCAGUUUAGAAUUAUGAUUUGUGCAAUUACCUAGAUCUCCCAACAGUUGAUUGAAUAAAAAACAAACACACUUAA